UACGUAGGGGGCAAGCGUUGUCCGGAAUCAUUGGGCGUAAAGAGCGCGUAGGCGGCCCUGUAAGUCCGCUGUGAAAGUCAAGGGCUCAACCCUUGAAUGCCGGUGGAUACUGCAGGGCUAGAGUCCGGAAGAGGCGAGUGGAAUUCCUGGUGUAGCGGUGAAAUGCGCAGAUAUCAGGAGGAACACCGGAUGGCGAAGGCAGCUCGCUGGGACGGUAGCUGACGCUGAGGCGCGAAAGCGUGGGGAGCAAACAGGAUAGAAACCCU
rnacentral:rRNA from 1 species